rnacentral:rRNA from 1 species
UACGUAGGGUGCAAGCGUUGUCCGGAAUUAUUGGGCGUAAAGAGCUCGUAGGCGGUCUGUCGCGUCGGAUGUGAAAAUCAGGGCUCAACCCUGGACCUGCAUUCGAUACGGGCAGACUAGAGUUCGGCAGGGGAGACUGGAAUUCCUGGUGUAGCGGUGAAAUGCGCAGAUAUCAGGAGGAACACCGGUGGCGAAGGCGGGUCUCUGGCCGGAACUGACGCUGAGGAGCGAAAGCGUGGGUAGCAAACAGG